rnacentral:rRNA from 1 species
AGUGAACGCUGGCGGUAGGCCUAACACAUGCAAGUCGAACGGCAGCACAGUAAGAGCUUGCUCUUACGGGUGGCGAGUGGCGGACGGGUGAGGAAUACAUCGGAAUCUACUUUUUCGUGGGGGAUAACGUAGGGAAACUUACGCUAAUACCGCAUACGACCUCCGGGUGAAAGCAGGGGAUCUUCGGACCUUGCGCGAUUGAUUGAGCCGAUGUCGGAUUAGCUAGUUGGCGGGGUAAAGGCCCACCAAGGCGACGAUCCGUAGCUGGUCUGAGAGGAUGAUCAGCCACACUGGAACGGAGACACGGUCCAGACUCCUACGGGAGGCAGCAGUGGGGAAUAUUGGACAAUGGGCGCAAGCCUGAUCCAGCCAUACCGCGUGGGUGAAGAAGGCCUUCGGGUUGUAAGGCCCUUUUGUUGGGAAAGAAAAGCAGCAGGUUAAUACCCCGCUGUUCUGACGGUACCCAAAGAAUAAGCACCGGCUAACUUCGUG